CGCGGCCUAUCAGCUUGUUGGUGGGGUAAUGGCCUACCAAGGCGACGACGGGUAGCCGGCCUGAGAGGGCGACCGGCCACACUGGGACUGAGACACGGCCCAGACUCCUACGGGAGGCAGCAGUGGGGAAUAUUGCACAAUGGGCGAAAGCCUGAUGCAGCGACGCCGCGUGAGGGAUGACGGCCUUCGGGUUGUAAACCUCUUUCAGCAGGGACGAAGCGUAAGUGACGGUACCUGCAGAAGAAGCGCCGGCCGACUACGUGCCAGCAGCCGCGGUAAGACGUAGGGCGCGAGCGUUGUCCGGAUUUAUUGGGCGUAAAGAGCUCGUAGGCGGCUUGUCGUGUCGACUGUGAAAACCCGCAGCUCAACUGCGGGCCUGCAGUCGAUACGGGCAGGCUAGAGUUCGGUAGGGGAGACUGGAAUUCCUGGUGUAGCGGUGGAAUGCGCAGAUAUCAGGAGGAACACCGGUGGCGAAGGCGGGUCUCUGGGCCGAUACUGACGCUGAGGAGCGAAAGCGUGGGGAGCGAACAGGAUUAGAUACCCUGGUAGUCCACGCUGUAAACGUUGGGCGCUAGGUGUGGGGGACCUCUCCGGUUCUCUGUGCCGCAGCUAACGCAUUAAGCGCCCCGCCUGGGGAGUACGG
rnacentral:rRNA from 1 species